AUGUGAACCAUAACGAAAUUACUAACAUUAUGCCUAACCUUAACUUCAAAUUAAGACCAAAAUCUAAUUUUAGUUUCAAUCAAUUUUUACGAUAGCUUUGUGGCUAUGGUAACCGAUUCCACCGGUGGAUAGAUCCAAAAUGGACGCCGGAGUAAAAACUGCACUGAGCUUUAAAAACUUCAGGAAUAACAAAAGGGCAAAGAGGAUGCAAUCAAGAGUAGACACACAUUCUUCGUUAUAACCAGAAGAAUCGUAAAACGGUUGGAAGGCUAAAUGAUGAAUCUUCCGGAGGUGAAGUAGUGAGUGGAGCCUCUCUCCCGCCAAAAGCCUAGCAUGGACAACUUCUUCAAGGCUGCUGUAUGUGACCUGGACAAGCUUCUGGAUGACUUUGAGCUCAAUACAGAUGAGCACAACUACAGAUCAGUCUCUCUGUCACCUCCAGCGUACCCCGGCCACUCUCUGGGCCCCCAGGGUUUCCUUCCGGAAACCUCCACAGUUCCAGUUCCGCACUCUCUCCUUGACCUAAACUCCCUGCACUAUGGCACUGCCCCCAGCUGCCCUGACUGUCCCAGCCCCAGUCCUGGAGAUUGCGAGGCCAGGGGACGGCCUCUCAUGGGGGUUGACCUGCUCUCCUCUGUGGACGGCCGGGGGGCUGCUAAGAGCUGUGCGCCACCCUUCCCCAAGCGAGCCCUGAAGCCUGUGUGUGACCUGGUCAGUGACACAGGCUCAGCCCACCUCCUCCUCCGGGCCAACAGCCACGACGCCUUCAGUGAGCUGGAUGUGGUGGAGAGACGGCUGGAGGAGGAGCUUCUGGUGGACUUCACCUGCCCCUUGGUGGCACUGCCUGAGGACUCCUCAGCAGGUCUGGGUCCCGGCCUUGGGAGGACUGAGGGGAGGGAGGCUGCCGGGGGAGGGGAGGGGCUGCUGGGGCUGGACUCUGGUGGUUACUCUGCCACUCUCAGUCUGCUGGAUGUGAUUCUCCCUGCUGCUGUGGAGAGGCCCCCCUCACUGAGGAACUCUGAGUCUGGAGAGACGGAGGAAGAGCGCGACAGAGAGGGAGAAGCGACAGAGGUGGCCUUCGUCAAUCAACACCUGAAAAUCACACCAGCCCACCAGGACCAGGCUAGUGUCCCACCUGUUGCCAUAGACACUAAAAAAGAGGACACUCCCACGUGUGAUAUCGACACAGAGGCCAGGGAGGAGGGUGAGGGGUCUUUGGAGCCCUCUGAGCUGACUGAAGCAGAGAGCUCUGGGAGCUGCACUGGACAGGAACCUAACCCUGAGGACGGCAGUGGUGGUGUAGCCGAGAGCCCAUCAGCAGAGACUGAGCUUUCGCUGUCCUGCCUGCCCAUGGGCGUGUCCAUGUGUGGGGCCCUGGUGGCAUCCAAGAACCCUGAGGAAGGCAUGGGAGAGGGGGGAAGGGAGGCUGGCCUAACUGAGACCUUACAGGCAGAGUCCCUGUCUGCUUUCGAAGUCCAGGAGGAAGUUACUCUCCCAGAGAACCCUGAGACUGUGGGGGACUGUACCAACCCUGAUGAUGCCCCUGAAAACAAACCUGUCCAGUCACCUAGCACACAGAGCCCAGAGACAACCACCAUGGCUUUCCACAUGGCAGCCUCGGCUUCCACCGUCUCCCAGCGGCCACUGAAGGUCAGCUUCUCCCUAGUGGAAAAGCAGCCAGUCACAGGGGCUCCACAGCACCCAGGCUCCCCUACCUCAGAGCCCAGCCCCAACCCAAUGGACCCACCUGCGUUUGGGUUUGAGUACCUGCCGGAGAGUGACCAGGCCGGGCUGCUUGUGACAGAUGAGGAGCUGGACGCCUUCCUCCGGGGGGAGACCCAGGGCCAGGAGGACAAUGGGGUCCCUGACUGCGGGAGGCCUGGGGAGAACCUCCAGGAUGAGGGAUUCUCCGAGCUCAACGGGAACCUGGAGGAGCGGCUAGUGGAGGAGGAGCUGCGGAGCUGCAGCCGGAGCCUAGGGGAAGGGCUGGAGAGGCUGGCCUCCCGGGAGAGUGACAGGAUCUUGUCUGCAGAGGGGAACGUGAGUCGAGCUCUCUCCGCUCCCUCCCAGGACUCCCCCAGCCACAAAGACUCCAGCCCCUGUAGUCCCAGUAACCUCCCACCACCCUACUACGGAGGGGCCCGACCCAAACAGCUGCACUGUCAAGCACCCAGAGCACCUCCAGCAGCGGGGGAGGACCAAGGGCCCAGUAGCCCCACAGACCGCACCGACACUGGGGAAGAGGUGGACCAAAGCCCCUCUCCUCCCAGCCCCAACCCUGCCGAGGACCCCUCUAACCAAGGUGUACCCUGUCCAGGUUACUCCCCGCCUGAGCUCUAUGUGAGCAGUGUGGGGUACGACGAACUGUCUGAGCCCCCACCCUACCCUGGCAAACCUGCUGGAGAGGGGAGCGUGUCCUCAGAGGGGAGGGAGGCGGAGGAUGCAGAUGGGCUGGGGUGCAAGCAGCCCCCCUGGGUGCCGGAUUCGGAGGCACCCAACUGUAUGAACUGCUGGCAGAAGUUCACCUUCACCAGGAGGAGGCACCACUGCCGGGCCUGUGGGAAGGUGUACUGUGCCAUCUGCUGCAACAGGAGAUGCAAGCUAAAGUACCUGGACAAGGAGGCCCGGGUGUGUGUCGUCUGCUUCGAGACCGUACACAGGAGUAAAACACAAGCCCAGGCGCUGGAGCGUAUGAGGAGUCCACCAGGUCCGAGCCCCAACCCCAACGUCCCGUCAGAGUACUGCAGCACCAUCCCCCCCCUGCAGCAGGCCCGGGCUGCAGGCACCCUCAACUCCCCUCCGCCCACCGUCAUGGUGCCUGUCUCCGUGCUCAAAAACCCUGGCAGCGAUGGUUGUCCUCGUGAGCAGAAGCGUGUGUGGUUUGCAGAUGGCAUCCUGCCCAAUGGAGAGGUGGCCAACACCACCAGGCUCUCUGUGACUGGCAGGAGGGGCUCCCAGGAGUCCAGCCCUGUCACACCUGACCCACCUACGGCUGGCAGCAGAGUGUCCCCUGGCUCUGCAGCGGUGUCGGAGGGUGGUGUGUCGGCCUCAGUCGAGGUGGUGCGCCCCCCAGUGUCAGGACCCUGGGACUACAGCCUACUGUGUGGGGUGGGGGGCUGUGUAGAGAGGUGCCCCAGUCUGCUGCCAGAGGAUGAGGAGGGCUUGCCACCUCUACUCAUCACCACCGGAGAGGAGGAAGGAGGAGGGGAUCUAUUGGUGGAGGAGCGCCCCGCCCCCUGCCAGAUCCUUCUCCUAUUGGAGGAGGGAGGGCCGCGACCUUUGACCUUUGUCCUCAACGCAAACCUGCUGGUCAACAUCAAACUGGUCACCUACUGCUGUAGGAAGUGCUGGUGUCUGGGCUCCAGUGGUCUACAGACUGUGGGACAGAGGGAGGUGGUGUUCAUCCUGGAGGUUCUGCCAGAGGAGAGGGCUCUGCCCAAAGACCUGUUCACACUCUACCUCUCCAUCUACCAGGACGCACAGAGAGGGAAGUAUGUAGAGGAGCUGGGCAACGUGGCAUUCACAGGUAGUUUCCUGGGGAGUAAGGAGCACGGCGGCGUGCUGUUUUACUCCCCUACCUUCCAGCCCCUGGAGGGCCUCUGUCUGCCCCCACAGCCCUUCCUCUGUGGUCUGCUCAUCCAGAGGCUGGAGGUGCCCUGGGCCAAGGUGUUCCCCCUCAGACUGCUGCUACGGCUGGGAGCAGAACACAGUGUGUACCCCAGCACUCUGGUCAGCGUCCGCUUCAGAGAAACUGUGUUCAGAGAGACAGGACACACCAUCAUGAACCUGUUGGCUGACCUGAGGAACUACCAGUACAGUCUGCCUGCUGUGGAGGGUCUGAGGAUCCACAUGGAGAUGGGCCACAGCUACAUUGACAUUCCCAAGAGCAGCUUCCCUGAGAUGCUGAAGGUUGUGAAUGCGUCUAACGAGCAUGUGAUCAGUGUGGGUGCCGGGUUCAGCUCAGAGGCUGACUCUCACCUGGUCUGUUUCCAGAACAACGAGGGCACCUAUCAGACCCAGGCCAACAGCCAGCCUGGCAAGACACGCACAGUGACGGGGGCCAGCUUCGUGGUGUUCAACGGGGCCCUGAAGGCCUCGUCAGGCUUCAUCGCCAAGUCAAGCAUCGUGGAGGACGGCCUGAUGGUUCAGAUCCCCCCAGAGACCAUGGAGGCCCUGCGUGCCGCCCUGAGGGGGCAGACUGACUUCCACAUCCCCUGUGGCAAGGCUGACGGAGGGGAGCUCCGGGACAAUGUCACCGUCCGCUGGAUUGACUGGAGUUCCCCCGUCAACGCUGGAGUGACCAGUGGUGUAGACAGGAAACCUCUAGAGGGGGUCCACAGUGUGAGGAUGCAGCAGGACACAGAAUUUGAGUCGGACGGACGCACCAUCAGGUGUACUGAGGUGUUCUACUGGCUGAAGAGUCCAGACAUGUCCCUGUCUGCGGUGCUGCCGUCCUGCAGUGUGUUCCACAGGGAGAUGGCUGUGGCCAGCUGUAGUGCUCUGACCCCUCACCUCUCUGUCCUCUCAGCCAGCGGCAUCAACUCCCUCGCCCUCAGAGUCUCUACACACACUGACAUGGUGGAGUACCAGGCCGGUUCAGGAGGCAGGCUCCUACCCCAGCGCUAUAUGAACGAGCUAGACAGCGCUCUGAUCCCCGUCAUCCACGGAGGUUCAGCAAGAGUGCCACAGACAGCCAUGGACAUGGAGUUUAUCUUCUACAUCACACACACUGUCUAACACACACAGUCUCGCACAUGGAAACACAAAAACUGUUAAACACUGUACGUGCCAUCACACACACACACACACACACACACACACACACACACACACACACACACACACAGCCUGGAUGUCUUUCCUCAAAGUAAAAGGCUGGAGCUCAGAGGACCUUGGACAAACUGACAGAGCCUGAGUACACAAACAGCCAAUCAGGCGUGGCUAAUAACUGAACUGAAGACACACGCCGCCAACGGCAGGACAUUCCCACAGAGUCUCUCUCUGAAGGCCUUAGAAUAGAGAUGUAGGUCUUUGUUCCAGGAUGGACAGUGGAGAAACUGGAACAGUGAAAUGGCUUUAAGUCUGAGAAACAUUAUGAAUGCUGCUUUAACCCACGAGGCCAAACAUUUAGCACAAAUAACAACAACAAUCCCAAAAAGAAUGAACUCUCCUGAAACUGACUUUUCUCAUCUCUUCCUGCUCUGCCUUGAUUUCUCACUGGCAUCUGUCUGUCAGCCAGCCAAGGAACACCUUGUUGAAUGUUUCCAACCGACACUGUCAACAAACUGCUUUCUUUUCUCUACUCUUCUUUUCAUCUAUUUACUGUAUAUUUAGAAUGACCACAUGGCAAAUCAGUGACGAAUUAUAUUGAAGUUACUUGAUUGACAGCUGUAUGCCAAGCUUGAGAAGAGCAGCAUGACAUGAGACACUGAUGUGCUUUGUAGAAGUUUCUAGAUAAACUGUUAUUUGAGGAUGUGAGCGCUAUUUUAGAAUGAGUAAAUUCUAGAAUGGCGUUUUGAACUUCUUCUCUCUUCAUCGGCAGAAUGCAGAGUCUUGUUUAGCAGACCAGUGGUCUCUCCAGUUGUGUGUUAUAUGUGGGGAAUUCUCGGACAACCCUCACUGUCUCGUCCAAAUCUAUAGAAAUUAUAUCAAGCUUUUUAAGCUUAAAGUACUAUUUUUUUUGGAACCGUUACGUAAAUGGAAUUGAUGUUCGUAUUUUUGAUAGGACGUUAGCUAGCUGAGUCACUUUCGCAGGUGUCGUGCAAAUGAGGCCUGAGGAGCACAGAAAAAAAACAAUGGACAAGAGUUUCCCCUGAUGAGGAACACUGUAAAGGAAUUAAAAGUUCCCUCCACAUUUUGUCUGUUAUUAGCUGCCCUAGAAAGCCUUGAACCAGCCAGACACAUUAUUCAACAAUAUCACCGAUACUGACUGAUGUUAUUGACAUGGUCCAAUCUUACUGAUGAAGGUGAGUGUUAAUGUAACAUUGAUCUAUAUAAAUUCCUAUUGAUGCAUAUGACUGACGUUGAUUGACCAUAUCUUCAUUUCUCAUCGUGUUGUGUUGCGGCACUCUUAAAACCCUCUAGAGUCGACAUAAUAAGUAACAUAAAUUCCCCAUCAACAUCCUUCAAUUUAAACUAGAGAUAUCUGAUAUCUCAUUCCACCGCAUCUGCCUAUGGCGGCCUUCCGCGUCUACGGUGAAAGGUGGCAGAGCUACAGCGGUGUUUGUCAGACCAUGAGACAUCCCAAAAAUCAGUCUCACGAAAACGUCUGUAACGUCCAAACGGUUUGCCCACUAUGGAAAAGGGAGAUGAGAGAGGCCUGACAUUUUCAUCACAGGUACACUUCAACUAUGACAGACAAAAUGAGGGGGGAAAAACCCCAGAAAAUCACAUUGUAGGAUUUGUAAUGAAUUU